rnacentral:lncRNA from 1 species
UUAGCUCCUUUUUGUCCUACUGGCCUCAGUUUAUUUGCUGUUCCUCAGAGGGGCCUUCCCUGACCACCCUGUUAUAAAUAGAUCUCCCUGUAUCCUUUAUUCUCUUUCUCCACCCUUUAUUUGUUACUUUCAUUAAUGUAUUAGAAUUUUUAAUCAUUUUACUUAUUUGUCUGUUUACUGGUAUUUUUAAAAUAUCUAUUUUCCCACUAGAACGUAAGGUCCAUUAGGACAAGAGUCAUGUCUGUCUUGCCACCAUUGCCCCCUGGCCCCUCCCCCCCCCAAGCCUAGCACAGUGCCUGGCAGGGAGUAGAUAGCCAUCAACAUUGGUGGGGGCUUUGCUGGACUGAAGGAAGAAUCAGGUAACUGAUCAAGAGUCCCCUUGAACUUUGGCGCCUGGAAACUGAGGGCCAGAUCUGUAGUGCAGCUGCAGUGACUGCCCAUGUCCUUCAGAUCCCCUGCCAGAUGUGUGUGCUGACUUCUUAUCUGAUUUCACCUUCCUCAGUGGACCCUGUUCGCACUGACCCAUGUAACUGAUGUUUAUAAUUUACAGUAAGAAUCAGACUUUCCGUCAUGAUUUAAAGCAAAUAUGAUGACACUGCAGGCUAGACACAUUGUCUUUGUGUAAUUCCCAGAAGCCAGAACAGUGUAAACAGUGCAACAGAGCUAUGGCAACUGAUGCUUUCUCUUCACCAGGACUGUCCUUCAGCGAGAGCCCUCAGGUGAGGCCCUGGUACCCUUGGGGCUUGGGGCUGCUGGGGGAGCCCUGUGACAGGUGAGCAUUCUGCUGUGAGUGGACAAGGGCUAUGGUUGGUCUGCAUAGAGCUUCUGUGCAAAUUAAGAAAAGGUGCCCCUGUGGGUAGAUGCAGCACUGGGCAAAGGCAAAAGGUUUGGCAAAUGGAGAGUUGUUUGGUUUCAUUCCCCUCUUGCCCCCUUAGUUGAGUGUCUUUGUGCAGUAAACAACCUGCACCACGGUACAUGGAAAGGUCCUGAAUGGAAAAGUCUCUGAGUCUUGGGACUGUCCCACUUGCCUUGGUAUUUGGACCCCUUCCUAUAGGGCCUGCCCAGCAGACAGGACUUCCUGUUGUCAGUCAUUGCUUCCCUCAACCAUAUCAGAGCCUCCUCAACCCUUUGUAAAACAUGGCUGGGAGGGGACAAGGGGCUUGGGGAGAAGGCAACAUUUAUCAGGUGUCUAGCGUGCACCAGUCACUGGGCAGGUGCUGGGUAUAUAAAGGUGAGUGAGUUCUGCCUCUUUCCUGACAGUCUGCUGAAGGGAACAGAUAGGCAAAUAAAGUAAGAACAAAUUCUUACAAGGAAAUGAGUGCAAAGCUGUGGCGACAGAGAGGGGAGCACACGACCCUGACUCAGGAGUCAUGAGUCUUCUCAGAGGACAUACUCUAUGACUUGGGGCCUCGGAGGAGUUUCCAGGCCAACAAGUAAAGGAAAGGCAUUCCAGGCAGGGGGAACAGCUUAUGCAAAGGCACAGAGAUCUGGAACUGCAUGGUUGGGUUGAGGAAAAGAGGCUGCCAAGAAUGUACUCAUGUCCUUCUCCCAUCCACCUGACUCAUCCAUCCAAAGAGGUCCAAUGUCAACUUUUCUGUGAUACCUUCCUUUGCUUCCCCGAGUCCAUCCCCUUAAGUCUCUGACAUGCACAUGUACAUCUCUCAAAGCACCUGGCACCUCAUACCGUAGUCAGGUACACCCUAGUCUCUCACCAGACCCUGAGCUCCCUGAGGGCAGAGGCUGCCCCUGCCUCACCUGUGUGUCCUCUCUCCUCACAAAGUGCUAGGCACAUGUCAAGUGUGGGAGAAAGGUUUGUUAAGUGAAUCGAUUAACAGUGUACCUGAAGCAGAGGAAGCCCAGUGAAGCAGGUCUGGAUGUGAGGCUGGACAGAAAUACUGGAUAAUACCAUGCAAAGGGUUCUGGACGACAGGCACUGGUGGCCAUCAUCAGUUCUGGCUGUAGGGUGACAUCAGGGUCAAGGUCACAUAUGUUUUGUGGUGGUACCAGGGUAUUCAAUCUGGCAGGCAGGUCCUGGCAGUAGGACACCCUGGUGGCCUCCCACCGUCUGGAGCCACACAGGAGCCUUACAUAGGGGAGGAGUCCCCAGGGGGUGGGAGAAGCGCAGGGCUGCCUCAGCUAGGAUAUCUUGAUUAUAGAUGACAAAUAAUAACGCCUCUAUUAUUUCACUUGAUAGGAAGUCCAGAGGAAGGAGAUUUUUCAGUGUAAUAGGGCUCAAUAAUACAGUAACAUCAUCGAGGUUCCUUCCAUUGCACUGCCUCAACUUCAUCGAAACACUGUUGACCCUCACGAUUGCAAGAUGGUCGGAGCAGUUCCAGGAAUUACACUCAGGCCCAUCAGUGCUCAACGGCAGAAAACAGGCACUCUUUCCGUAGUCUCCUUCCUAGAAGCGAGGAAUCCUUUCCCAGAAGUCCCUGAGCAGACCUCUCCUCACAUCUCGUUGGCCAGAAUUGGGUCACAUGCUGACUCCUGCACCAAUCACUGGCAAGAGACCGAUGAUUGGCUUAGACUAAUCAGGGUCCACCCUCUGGAGCAGCGGGUGCGGUUACCCUGCCCUACAGCUGGUGGUGUGGCGGAGGAGAUGAUGCUUAUCAGUGGAAGGCUGUAUCCCAACGUCGGUACCUUGAGAUGGGUGUGUGUGUGCACGCGCACAAGGAUGAGCAGCGUCCCCCCGCCCCGGAAUGCCAGGGAAGGGCAUCCUCCAGGAGAACCAAGAGUGUUAUCGAAGAGGCUAACACACUAGACGGUUCCAAAGGGCGUGGGAGGAAAGGCUUCGUCGGCUGGCCUCAAGUGUUGCGUUAGACGCUGACAGAGUGAGGGCCCAGCCGUUCUGGAGGCUUGAUGAUUUAGCAGACAGGGCAUCGAGGGGGCAGGUGUGGCUGAGUGCGGGGCUGUAGGAGGGAGGCUGUGAGGUCGCGGGAGACUGCGCAGCCUGUUUCACACACUCUGCCCACACACCACACACGCAAAUACCCAUACCGCGCACAGCCUUGCCAUUUACGAUUGUAAACUCCUCAGAUGGCACAAGGCAGCUCUUUGCCCAAGCAACAAAAGAAAGGCCCUGCGUUUUAUUCAGAGAAAUACAGAGGAGUUAUCUGUAUCUUCUUCCCACCUGGACGUCGCAAAAGCCCCCAGCCCCACCCACCCUCAGCCAGGAUGGCUGGAACAGCUGGGGACUGGCUGAGCCAUUCUUUCUCCACGGAGGCAUCAGGCCAGCCCAGAAUCAAGGGGAGGAGCAACAGACUCUAUCUCUUGGUGAGAGGAGCAGGCCAUGCACACAGGGAUGAGAAGGGUCGUUGGUGGCCAUCUUGGGAAACAAAAGGUCUACAUACAGAACUGCUGCUGUGCUAUAAGGAAGUCGAAGCCAUCUUGCUGGAGAGAGAGAUCGUAUGAAGAAAACCACACAUGAAGAGAGAGAUCUUCUUACGGAGCUGUAUGAAAAUCUAACCUGGCGCUUCUGACUGCUAUGGAACACUCUGAUGUGCAUCUUCCAGCUCCACCUGUUCAUUCUGCUGCGGACGAACACCCAGACAGCCUCCAAUUCCUGCCACUUUAAACAAUACAGUAUUAAACGUCUUUGUUCAUGUCACCUUACAGAGCUGAUAAAACAAAUGUUCACCCAUUUUAUUCACAAACCACAGUGCAUAUCCAAAUGCCUUUAAAUGUGAUGCCAAAAAAAAAAAAAAUCCAGUAAACACACAGAUUUAUAAAGCUGAAUUUAGAUUUCUC